GAGGAAUAUUGCGCAAUGGAGGCAACUCUGACGCAGCCAUGCCGCGUGAAGGAUUGAAGGUCCUAUGGAUUGUAAACUUCUUUUGUAUGGGAAUAAACGCUACUACGUGUAGUAGCCUGAAGGUACCAUAAGAAUAAGCACCGGCUAACUCCGUGCCAGCAGCCGCGGUAAUACGGAGGGUGCAAGCGUUAUCCGGAUUUAUUGGGUUUAAAGGGUCCGUAGGUGGACCGUUAAGUCAGUGGUGAAAGCCCACAGCUCAACUGUGGAAUUGCCAUUGAUACUGGCGGUCUUGAGUACAAGUGAGGUUGGCGGAAUGUGUGGUGUAGCGGUGAAAUGCUUAGAUAUCACACAGAACACCGAUUGCGAAGGCAGCUGGCCAACUUGUAACUGACACUGAGGGACGAAAGUGUGGGGAUCAAAC
rnacentral:rRNA from 1 species